GACGAACGCUGGCGGCGUGCCUAAUACAUGCAAGUUGAGCGCUGAAGGUUGGUACUUGUACCAACUGGAUGAGCAGCGAACGGGUGAGUAACGCGUGGGGAAUCUGCCUUUGAGCGGGGGACAACAUUUGGAAACGAAUGCUAAUACUGCAUAAAAACUUUAAACACAAGUUUUAAGUUUGAAAGAUGCAAUUGCAUCACUCAAAGAUGAUCCCGCGUUGUAUUAGCUAGUUGGUGAGGUAAAGGCUCACCAAGGCGAUGAUACAUAGCCGACCUGAGAGGGUGAUCGGCCACAUUGGGACUGAGACACGGCCCAAACUCCUACGGGAGGCAGCAGUAGGGAAUCUUCGGCAAUGGACGAAAGUCUGACCGAGCAACGCCGCGUGAGUGAAGAAGGUUUUCGGAUCGUAAAACUCUGUUGGUAGAGAAGAACGUUGGUGAGAGUGGAAAGCUCAUCAAGUGACGGUAACUAUCCAGAAAGGGACGGCUAACUACGUG
rnacentral:rRNA from 1 species